UUACCGUGAAAAAAUUAGAGUGUUCAAAGCAGGCAGAUCCAAUUUUCUGCCACCGAAUACAUUAGCAUGGGAUAAUGGAAUAGGACCCUGUCCUCCUAUUUUCAGUUGGUUUUGGCAGCGCGAGGACUAGGGUAAUGAUUAAUAGGGAUAGUUGGGGGCAUUAAUAUUUAAUUGUCAGAGGUGAAAUUCUUGGAUUUAUGAAAGAUUAACUUCUGCGAAAGCAUCUGCCAAGGAUGUUUUCAUUAAUCAAGAACGAAAGUUAGGGGAUCGAAGACGAUCAGAUACCGUCGUAGUCUUAACCAUAAACGAUGCCGACCAGCGAUUAGGAGACGUUGAAUACAAAACACCACCAUCGGUGCGGUCGUCCUUGGCGUCGGUCUUUCGGGGCCGGCGCGGGGACGGCUUAGCCCGGUGGCACCGGUGAAUGACUCCCUA
rnacentral:rRNA from 1 species